rnacentral:lncRNA from 1 species
UUGGGAGACACAGAUGUCCUGUGCAGCGGUGAUGGUGGGCAUGACCUACACAGCGGUGACGGUGGGCAUGUCGUACACAGCGGUGACGGUGGGCAUGUCGUACACAGCGGUGAUGGUGGGCAUGUCCUACACAGUGGUGAUGGUGGGCAUGAAUGUGUAAAUCAAGUACCCUUUGUAGAAAUUGUGGUGAGUACCAAGUUGCCCCAAAAGGGCAGUCACUUCGAAUUCUCUUCAUGGGUAUCACUGGGACAUAGGCAUUGUAUACUCCAGUCCCAAAACGACGGCCACCUUGAGCUGUCUUCCCGCGUUUCCGUGGGAAGUGGUCUUUGCCCACCUGUUGGACCUCCCACAGAGUCUGCCCCCAUCACUUGGCCACCUACAUCCUUCUUUGUGGGCCUUUCUGGGAGACCAUCUUUGUCCACUGGUUGGACUAGCCAAAAAGUUUUAAGAUCUUGGCUUCUAUUUGGAAUAUGGGAUGAGCACCCAGCUGUCCCAAGGGAAUCUUCCACUGGAACAAUAUUCAGGGCCACUGGUUGCCCUCCUCUCGGGCAUCAGUGCUGUCCCAAGGGAAUCUUCCACUGGAACAAUAUUCAGGGUCGCCUGUGUAUAACUCUCUUUGCCCAUUUGUUGUACCCACCAAACAUCUUGGGGAUUUGGGCUUCUACUGUCAAGCUGCAGUGAAUACUGGACAGACCCACAGGGACAGCCACUGGUUGCCCUCCUCUCGGGCAUCAGUGGGAAAUCAUCAUUGCUCACUAAUUGAGCCAGCCAAAAGUCCUGGAGAUUGGGGCCUUCUUUCACAAGGCCAACCCAGGAUUUCAUAUUCAGGAGUAAGCCUUCAGGCUGAAUUUCAGGGUUGGAGGCCCUCCCCUAACAAUUCUGGUGAACCUGUGAAUUGAGAAAAGAGACUUGAGGAUGGGCCAGGGGGAAUGGGAGCCUGUGUUUUAUUCAGCUACCAAAAACCAGAGUAGAGGAAGAUUUUCCUCUGUGAUCUGAUUUGGAAAAAUAGCCUAGACUGCUCACCAUGAACUCAAAUACCACCCCUCACCCCCGGGCUUUACAGGGACCUCAAAUUUGGGGGAAGGGGAGGGGAUUGGGGAGCUCUACUGACCUGAUAUCUGAGCGUGUUCGCAUCCAGGCUUUGAAGAAGCCUGGGCUCCAGUCUCCUCCCUAGAACUCCCUCAGUGACUGUGACCUGCCCAUUACCUCACAAUAAGCCUCAUUGGCUCACAGCUGCUGACAUCAUGGGGGAGUGCUAUCAGGCUGAAGAAAAGGGCUUCAAGAC